ensembl:lncRNA
AGACACCAGGUGCAUGAGAAAGAAGAGUUUAAAGCAUUGAAGACUCUUAACAUCUUUUACCAGGCUGGAACUUCAAAGAACGGAAACCCUGUGUUUUACUAUGUAACUCGCAAGUAGUUGUGAAGAUGGAUUACCAGCUGUUUGGGAGCUGAAGGUGCUGGUAGACCAUCUUGAAUCAAGCGUCAUGUUUGUCAGUUGUUUUUGGAGCAUGGACCCUCAUAGCCCUUGCAUCAUGGCCAUCAGGAGGAGGGAACAGCAGACUGAUGUAUAGAGUGAACCCACACUGCAUCCUGAGCUUGUGUUUCGGCUGAGGUUCUGAUUGGGUCUCUUCACGCUCCGCGUACGG